rnacentral:rRNA from 1 species
AUUGAACGCUGGCGGCAGGCCUAACACAUGCAAGUCGAACGAGCGGCGGACGGGUGAGUAAUGUAUGGGAAACUGCCCGAUAGAGGGGGAUAACUACUGGAAACGGUGGCUAAUACCGCAUACUAUCAGAUGAGCCCAGGUGGGAUUAGCUAGUUGGUGGGGUAAAGGCUCACCAAGGCGACGAUCCCUAACUGGUCUGAGAGGAUGACCAGUCACACUGGAACUGAGACACGGUCCAGAUUCCUACGGGAGGCAGCAGUGGGGAAUAGUGGACAAUGGGCGAAAGCCUGAUGCAGCCAUGCCGCGUGUGUGAAGAAGGCCUUCGGGUUGUAAAGUACUUUAAGCGGGGAGGCGUUACCAGCAGAAUAAGCACCGGCUAACUCCGUGCCAGCCGCCGCGGUAAUAC